CUCGGAUCCCCUAGGAGCCGACCUCUGCCUUUCCACGUGUGGCUCUCGGUGGGGACUCCUCAAAGCAAAUCCAGAGGGCCUGCCCCGCCCUCCAGACAGCCUGUCCCUAACGGCAGGGUCGAGGUCCGCGUGCGCCGCGCGUGCGCAGCCAGCCUGCGCCCCGUCCAUCCACUCCCAGCCCCCUGCGGCGGCCCCUUGGCCUCACCACUGCCCUGCAUCCUCGGGAGGUGCUCGGGGGAAGAGAAACAUGCAGGCUAGGGCAGAAAAUAUUCUCCAAAAUGGCCACAGAAACAUCUCCCACGCCGUGGACUCUUCUACCGUGUAACCUAGCCCCGCGGCCAUCAACCUUGCCCCCAUCCCUCCCCGGACCUGGCCAGACUUUUGUUUCUGCCUCUACCAAUAACAUGACAGAAGGGCCUCUGGAAGCGGGUCCUGAAAGGUGAUUCGGCUUCCUCCUGGGUCUCCCUCCUGGGACACUUGUUUCUAGAACCACUGGCCACAAGGAAGCAGAGCGCAGGGGUGAACAAGCUGGGCUUUGCAGAGAGAGCAGAGGUACCACCCGAAGCCGUGUUUGACUUGGCUCCCACUGUGUUGUUUUUAGAAAAAGAAUGUGUUGCCAACGUUUAAAAAUUGGAAGACUUCAAAUAAAGACCUGUAGAUGUAUAAAUAUGUAUUUUCCCCCUGAUUAUAGAAACAAACAUGCUAAGAUUUUCUCUUGAAAAUCAGACGAGCUGGCCCCACUAGGUCUGCAUUUCCCUGUGGCAACAACUAGCUAGAACUGAGCAUUAGGUAAGGGGGUCCCUCUCCAGUGUGCCCCAGGCCCCACCACUCCCUAUCGUCUUAAGCUUACCAGGCUUCACUCACUGCAUUAAAUGCCUGGUCCCCGUCAGCAUUUGAUUUUAGAAUUCCCAAGGCUCGUUGACUCAGCUGGCCAUCCAGGCCCAUCGCUUACUAGCUGUGUGACCUUGGGCAUGCCACUGACUUUGCCUC
rnacentral:lncRNA from 1 species